rnacentral:rRNA from 1 species
GUAGGGAAUCUUCCACAAUGGGCGCAAGCCUGAUGGAGCAACACCGCGUGAGUGAAGAAGGGUUUCGGCUCGUAAAGCUCUGUUGUUAAAGAAGAACACGUAUGAGAGUAACUGUUCAUACGUUGACGGUAUUUAACCAGAAAGUCACGGCUAACUACGUGCCAGCAGCCGCGGUAAUACGUAGGUGGCAAGCGUUAUCCGGAUUUAUUGGGCGUAAAGAGAGUGCAGGCGGUUUUCUAAGGCUGAUGUGAAAGCCUUCGGCUUAACCGGAGAAGUGCAUCGGAAACUGGAUAACUUGAGUGCAGAAGAGGGUAGUGGAACUCCAUGUGUAGCGGUGGAAUGCGUAGAUAUAUGGAAGAACACCAGUGGCGAAGGCGGCUACCUGGUCUGCAACUGACGCUGAGACUCGAAAGCAUGGGUAGCGAACAGGAUUAGAUACCCGAGUAGUCC